GAAAUGCGAUAAUUAAUGUGAAUUGCAGAAUUCAGUGAAUCAUCGAGUCUUUGAACGCACAUUGCGCCCCCUGGUAUUCCGUGGGGCAUGCCUGUCCGAGCGUCAUUGCUGCCCUCAAGCACGGCUUGUGUGUUGGGCUUCCGUCUCUGGCAACGGGGACGGGCCCAAAAGGCAGUGGCGGCACCAUGUCUGGUCCUCGAGCGUAUGGGGCUUUGUCACCCGCUCCCGUAGGUCCAGCUGGCAGCUAGCCUCGCAACCAAUCUUUUUAACCAGGUUGACCUCGGAUCAGGUAGGGAUACCCGCUGAACUUAAGC
rnacentral:misc_RNA from 1 species